GGGGAUGUAGCUCAGAUGGUAGAGCGCUCGCUUAGCAUGCGAAACGUACGGGGAUCGAUACCCUGCAUCUCCA
rnacentral:tRNA from 1 species